rnacentral:rRNA from 1 species
AUUGAACGCUGGCGGCAUGCCUUACACAUGCAAGUCGAACGACAGCACGGGUGCUUGCACCUGGUGGCGAGUGGCGCACGGGUGAGUAAUACAUCGGAACAUGUCCUGUAGUGGGGGAUAGCCCGGCGAAAGCCGGAUUAAUACCGCAUACGAUCUACGGAUGAAAGCGGGGGCCCUUCGGGCCUCGCGCUAUAGGGUUGGCCGAUGGCUGAUUAGCUAGUUGGUGGGGUAAAGGCCUACCAAGGCGACGAUCAGUAGCUGGUCUGAGAGGACGACCAGCCACACUGGGACUGAGACACGGCCCAGACUCCUACGGGAGGCAGCAGUGGGGAAUUUUGGACAAUGGGCGAAAGCCUGAUCCAGCAAUGCCGCGUGUGUGAAGAAGGCCUUCGGGUUGUAAAGCACUUUUGUCCGGAAAGAAAUCCUUGGCCCUAAUACGGUCGGGGGAUGACGGUACCGGAAGAAUAAGCACCGGCUAACUACGUG